rnacentral:rRNA from 1 species
CCCGCUGAACUUAAGCAUAUCAAUAAGCGGAGGAAAAGAAACUAACCAGGAUUCCCCUAGUAACGGCGAGUGAAGCGGGAAGAGCUCAAAUUUGUAAUCUGGCGGUCUUCAGGCCGUCCGAGUUGUAGUCUGGAGAAGCGUUUUCCGCGCCGGUGCCGUGUACAAGUCUCUUGGAACAGGGCGUCAUAGAGGGUGAGAAUCCCGUCUUUGACACGGACAACCGGGGCUAUGCGAUGCGCUCUCGAAGAGUCGAGUUGUUUGAGAAUGCAGCUCAAAUCGGGUGGUAAAUUCCAUCUAUAGCUAAAUAUGCUCGAAAGACCGAUUGAGUUCAAUUACCAUGAGGAAAAGAUGAGGAGCCCUAUGGAGAAAGAGUUGAGCGAUCCAUGGAAUAAAUGCAACUGGAAACAUACAGAGUAAAUCGACUCGUAAUAGUUUAAAGGUAGCGUCUGGGGGCCAGACUUUUCUUGGGUUUAUCAGCACGAUCUUCCUUAUCGGUGCUCUCUCAUGAGAUCAGGCAAGGAUCCGUUCGGGCGGUGGUAGAAAAUCCGCGGUAAUGUGACUUCCUUCGCAGAGUGUUAUAAUCCUAGCUCUCACGCAGCUCUGCCUCGACUGAUGACCGCGCCUUUCGUGGCUAGGACGCUGGCAUAAUGGUCGUAAGCGACCCGUCUUGAAACACGG